GAUGAACGCUGGCUACAGGCUUAACACAUGCAAGUCGAGGGGAAACGCCGGGGAAGCUUGCUUCCCCGGGCGUCGACCGGCGCACGGGUGAGUAACGCGUAUCCAACCUGCCUCUGACUGAGGGAUAACCCGUCGAAAGUCGGCCUAAUACCUCAUGGCAUCGUCUGCGGGCAUCCAACGACGAUUAAAGAUUUCAUCGGUCAGGGAUGGGGAUGCGUCUGAUUAGCUUGUUGGCGGGGUAACGGCCCACCAAGGCUACGAUCAGUAGGGGUUCUGAGAGGAAGGUCCCCCACAUUGGAACUGAGACACGGUCCAAACUCCUACGGGAGGCAGCAGUGAGGAAUAUUGGUCAAUGGGCGGGAGCCUGAACCAGCCAAGUAGCGUGCAGGAGGACGGCCCUAUGGGUUGUAAACUGCUUUUAGGCGGGGAUAAAGUGAGGGACGUGUCCUUCAUUGCAGGUACCGCAUGAAUAAGAACCGGCUAAUUCCGUG
rnacentral:rRNA from 1 species